AUGAGCGAGGAGGAGGCGCAGAGGUACGGCGGCGGGACCGGCGGCGGGGGCGUCGGGGCGCUGUCCGUGGAUCUGCUGGGCCAGGUGCUCGACCGCGUGCUGGAGCGGCGGGACCGCAAGGCUUGCCGCCUCGUCAGCCGCGCCUUCGCGCGCGCCGAGGCCGCGCACCGCCGGGUUCUGCGGGUGCUCCGCCGGGAGCCGCUCCCUCGCCUACUCCGCGCCUUCCCUGCGCUCGAGCGGCUCGAUCUCUCAGCCUGCGCCUCGCUCGACGACGCGUCUCUUGCAGCCGCUUUGGCCGGCGCGGACCUCGGCACCGUCCGACAGGUCUGCCUGGCGCGGGCCAGCGGAGUGGGCUGGCGCGGGCUGGAAGCCCUGGUGGCCGCCUGCCCCAGGCUCGAGGCAGUCGAUCUGUCGCACUGCGUCGGUGCUGGGGAUAGGGAGGCUGCCGCGCUGGCCACGGCUUCCGGGCUGAGGGAGCUGAAUCUGGAAAAGUGCCUGGGCGUCACUGACAUGGGACUCGCCAAGGUAGCCGUGGGGUGCCCCAGACUGGAGAAUCUGAGCUUCAAGUGGUGCCGUGAAAUCUCUGACAUCGGUGUCGAUCUGCUUGUGAAGAAGUGCCGUGAGCUCCGCAGCCUUAACAUCUCAUACCUAAAGGUGAGCAAUGAGUCCCUUAGAUCAAUAUCGACACUUGAGAAGCUUGAGGAGUUGGCCAUGGUUGCUUGCUCAUGUAUAGACGAUGAAGGCCUGGAAUUGCUUAGCAGAGGAAGUAACUCAUUGCAGAGUGUUGAUGUGUCAAGAUGUGAUCAUGUGACUUCCCAGGGGUUAGCUUCACUGAUAGAUGGUCACAGUUUUCUCCAGAAGCUAUAUGCCGCAGAUAGUUUGCAUGAGAUUGGACAGCAUUUUCUAUCCAAGUUAGUAACACUGAAGGCAACCUUGACCGUGUUGAGACUUGACGGCUUUGAAGUGUCAUGCUCUCUUCUUUCAGCGAUUGGUGAAGGUUGUACCAACUUGGUUGAGAUUGGACUAAGCAAAUGCAACGGCGUUACAGAUGAAGGCAUCUCUUCGCUUGUAGCUUGCUGCAGCUACCUAAGGACAAUUGAUCUCACAUGCUGCAAUCUAGUCACAAACAAUUCCCUUGAUUCAAUAGCUGACAACUGUAAGCUGCUUGAAUGCCUCCGGUUGGAGUCCUGCUCUUCAAUAAACGAGAAAGGACUAGAGAGAAUUGCGAGCUGUUGCCCCAAUCUAAAGGAGAUAGAUCUCACUGAUUGUGGAGUGAAUGACGAAGCGUUGCAUCAUUUGGCAAAGUGCUCUGAACUACUGAUAUUGAAAUUAGGCCUGAGCUCAAGUAUUUCGGACAAAGGCCUUGGUUUUAUUAGUUCAAAGUGUGGAAAGCUCAUUGAACUUGACCUCUAUCGCUGCAGUUCUAUCACCGACGAUGGGCUGGCAGCCUUAGCCAACGGCUGCAAGAAAAUUAAGCUGCUGAACCUUUGUUACUGCAACAAGAUAACUGAUAGUGGUUUGAGCCACCUGGGCGCUCUGGAGGAGCUCACAAACCUUGAACUGAGAUGCCUGGUCCGCAUUACAGGCAUCGGAAUUUCUUCUGUUGUCAUUGGCUGUAAGAGCCUGGUAGAACUUGACUUGAAGCGCUGCUAUUCUGUCGAUGAUUCUGGCCUAUGGGCUCUUGCCCGAUAUGCGCUAAACCUUAGACAGCUUACCAUAUCAUACUGCCAAGUUACUGGCCUAGGCUUGUGCCACCUGCUUAGCUCCCUGAGGUGCCUCCAGGACGUGAAGAUGGUGCACCUCUCAUGGGUUUCCAUAGAAGGGUUCGAGAUGGCUCUGAGAGCCGCUUGCGGGAGGCUGAAGAAGCUGAAGAUACUCAGUGGUUUGAAGACCGUGUUAUCCCCUGAUCUGCUCCAGCUGCUGCAAGCCUGCGGCUGCCGCAUCAGAUGGGUCAACAAGCCUCUUGUCUACAAGGAUGCCAUCUGA
rnacentral:rRNA from 1 species